AGUGAACGCUGGCGGUAGGCCUAACACAUGCAAGUCGAACGGCAGCACAGUAAGAGCUUGCUCUUACGGGUGGCGAGUGGCGGACGGGUGAGGAAUACAUCGGAAUCUACUUUUUCGUGGGGGAUAACGUAGGGAAACUUACGCUAAUACCGCAUACGACCUACGGGUGAAAGCAGGGGAUCUUCGGACCUUGCGCGAUUGAAUGAGCCGAUGUCGGAUUAGCUAGUUGGCGGGGUAAAGGCCCACCAAGGCGACGAUCCGUAGCUGGUCUGAGAGGAUGAUCAGCCCCCCCGGGACCUAGGCACCGGCCCGACUUCUUCGGGGGGCCGCCGUUGGGAAUUUUUGACCAUUGGGGCCAACCCUGUUCCGCCCUUCCCCCGUGGGUGAAGAAGCCCUUCGGUUUUUAAGGCCUUUUUGUUGGGAAAGAAAGCCGCCGGGUUAAUACCCCGCUGUUCUGCCGGUCCCCAAAGAAUAAGCCCCGGCUACCUCCUU
rnacentral:rRNA from 1 species